rnacentral:rRNA from 1 species
UAGGGAAUCUUCGGCAAUGGACGAAAGUCUGACCGAGCAACGCCGCGUGAGUGAAGAAGGUUUUCGGAUCGUAAAACUCUGUUGUUAGAGAAGAACAAGGACGUUAGUAACUGAACGUCCCCUGACGGUAUCUAACCAGAAAGCCACGGCUAACUACGUGCCAGCAGCCGCGGUAAUACGUAGGUGGCAAGCGUUGUCCGGACUUAUUGGGCGGAAAGCGAGCGCAGGCGGUUUCUUAAGUCUGAUGUGAAAGCCCCCGGCUCAACCGGGGAGGGUCAUUGGAGACUGGGAGACUUGAGUGCAGAAGAGGAGAGUGGAAUUGCAUGUGUAGCGGUGAAAUGCGUAGAUAUAUGGAGGAACACCAGUGGCGAAGGCGGCGCUCUGGUCUGUAACUGACGCUGAGGCUCGAAAGCGUGGGGAGCAAACAGG